GGUCAUGGAGGCCAAUCCAGACAUUGAAGUCAUCAGUGCCACUCUCCUUAAUCAGUGAGGCCACAAAGGCACCCUCGGCCUGGGUGAGCACAGACACCAGGCGGAGGGUGCCUUCGUGGCCUCACUGAUUAAGGAGAGUAGCACUGAUGACAGCAAUGUCUGGAUUGGCCUCCAUGACCCAAAAAAGAACCGCCGCUGGCACUGGAGUAGUGGGUCCCUGGUCUCCUACAAGUCCUGGGACACUGGAUCCCCGAGCAGUGCUAAUGCUGGCUACUGUGCAAGCCUGACUUCAUGCUCAGGAUUCAAGAAAUGGAAGGAUGAAUCUUGUGAGAAGAAGUUCUCCUUUGUUUGCAAGUUCAAAAACUAGAGGAAGCUGAAAAAUGGAUGUCUAGAACUGGUCCUGCAAUUACUAUGAAGUCAAAAAUUAAACUAGACUAUGUCUCCAACUCAGUUCAGACCAUCUCCUCCCUAAUGAGUUUGCAUCGCUGAUCUUCAGUACCUUCACCUGUCUCAGUCUCUAGAGCCCUGAAAAAUAAAAACAAACUUAUUUUU
rnacentral:lncRNA from 1 species